GUAGACAACCUACCUUCUAGAUGGGGACAACACCGCGAAAGUGGUGCUAAUACCGAAUGUUGCAUCGAGGGCUCAUGCCUUUGCUGCCAAAGAUGGCCUCUUUACAAUGCUAUCGCUAGAAGAUGGGUCUGCGUCUGAUUAGCUAGUUGGCGGGGUAAAAGCCCACCAAGGCGACGAUCAGUAGCCGGUCUGAGAGGAUGAACGGCCACACUGGGACUGGGACACGGCCCAGACUCCUACGGGAGGCAGCAGUGGGAAAUCUUCCGCAAUGGACGAAAGUCUGACGGAGCAACGCCGCGUGAGUGAUGAAGGUCUUCGGAUUGUAAAGCUCUGUUGUAAGAGAAGAACGGGUGUGAGAGUGGAAAGUUCACACUGUGACGGUAUCUUACCAGAAAGGGACGGCUAACUACGUGCCAGCAGCCGCGGUAAUACGUAGGUCCCGAGCGUUGUCCGGAUUUAUUGGGCGUAAAGCGAGCGCAGGCGGUUAGAUAAGUCUGAAGUUAAAGGCUGUGGCUUAACCAUAGUAUGCUUUGGAAACUGUUUAACUUGAGUGCAGAAGGGGAGAGUGGAAUU
rnacentral:rRNA from 1 species